CCAGUCGUGACGGCGCAGAGGUCAGGCAGUCAGGGAAGACCAGUCUGUGACGGAGCUGAGGUCAGGCAGUCAGGGAAGACCAGUCUGUGACGGCGCAGAGGUCAGGCAGUCAGGGAAGACCAGUCUGUGCGGCGCAGAGUCAGGGAAGACCAGUCGUGACGGCGCAGAAGUCAGGCAGUCAGGGAACAAGUCUGUGACGGCGCUGAGGUCAGGCAGUCAGGGAAGCCCAGUCUGUGACGGCGCUGAGGUCAGGCAGUCAGGGAAGCCCAGUCUGUGACGGCGCAGAGCUGAGGUCAGGCAGUCAGGGAAGCCCAGUCUGUGACGGAGCUGAGGUCAGGCAGUCAGGGAAGCCAGUCUGGACGGCGCAGAGGUCAGGCAGUCAGGGAAGCCCAGUCUGUGACGGCGCUGAGGUCAGGCAGUCAGGGAAGCCCAGUCUGUGACGGCGCUGAGGUCAGGCAUCAGGGAAGCCCAGUCUGUGACGGCGCAGAGGUCAGGCAGUCAGGGAACCCAGUCUGUGACGGCGCAG
rnacentral:lncRNA from 1 species